rnacentral:rRNA from 1 species
AGAGUUUGAUCCUGGCUCAGAUUGAACGCUGGCGGAAUGCUUUACACAUGCAAGUCGAACGGCAGCACGGGGGCAACCCUGGUGGCGAGUGGCGAACGGGUGAGUAAUGCAUCGGAACGUGCCCAGUCGUGGGGGAUAACGUAGCGAAAGCUACGCUAAUACCGCAUACGAACUCUGGUUGAAAGCGGGGGAUCGCAAGACCUCGCGCGAUUGGAGCGGCCGAUGGCAGAUUAGGUAGUUGGUGGGGUAAAGGCUCACCAAGCCCACGAUCUGUAGCUGGCCUGAGAGGACGACCAGCCACACUGGGACUGAGACACGGCCCAGACUCCUACGGGAGGCAGCAGUGGGGAAUUUUGGACAAUGGGCGCAAGCCUGAUCCAGCCAUUCCGCGUGCAGGAUGAAGGCCCUCGGGUUGUAAACUGCUUUUGUACGGAACGAAAAGGCCUGGGUUAAUACCUCGGGCUCAUGACGG